CGGCUAACUCCGUGCCAGCAGCCGCGGUAAUACGGAGGGUGCGAGCGUUAAUCGGAAUUACUGGGCGUAAAGGGCACGCAGGCGGUUAAUUAAGUUGGAUGUGAAAUCCCCGGGCUUAACCUGGGAAUGGCAUUCAAGACUGGUUAGCUAGAGUCUGGUGGGGGGGGGUAGAAUUCCAUGUGUAGCGGUGAAAUGGGUAGAGAUAUGGAGGAAUACCGGUGGCGAAGGCGGCCCCCUGGCCAAAGACUGACGCUCAUGUGCGAAAGCGUGGGGAGCAAACAGGAUUAGAUACCCUGGUAGUCCACGCUGUAAACGAUGUCGAUUUGGAGGUGGUGGUCAUGAACUGUGGCCUCCGGAGCUAACGCGUUAAAUCGACCGCCUGGGGAGUACGGCCGCAAGGCUAAAACUCAAAUGAAUUGACGGGGGCCCGCACAAGCGGUGGAGCAUGUGGUUUAAUUCGAUGCAACGCGAAGAACCUUACCUACUCUUGACAUCCAGCGAAUCCUUUAGAGAUAGAGGAGUGCCUUCGGGAGCGCUGAGACAGGUGCUGCAUGGCUGUCGUCAGCUCGUGUUGUGAAAUGUUGGGUUAAGUCCCGCAACGAGCGCAACCCUUAUGCUUUGUUGCCAGCG
rnacentral:rRNA from 1 species